AUGAUUAAAAACACCCAGAAAAAUAGUCUGGUCAUGGGUUUAGCGUCUGAUCUCAUCCCUGAUGGGGUAGCUGUCUUGCAGUACGCAGACGACACCAUCAUUUGCCUAGAGGAUGAUGUUGAUAAAGCAGUUAACCUGAAGUUGCUGCUUUAUUUGUUCGAAAUGAUGUCUGGGCUAAAAGUUAACUUCCAGAAAAGUGAGAUCCUUNNNNNNNNNNNNNNNNNNNNNNNNNNNNNNNNNUACGCGGAGCUGUUUAAUUGUGAGAUAGACAGUUUCCUCAUUAAAUAUGUAGGCAUGCCCGUGAGCUAUACAAACCUGAAAAACUCUGAUUGGGAGUUCAUUGUGAGCAAGUACCUAAAGAGGUUUGAGGCCUGGAUGGGUAAUGCGGCCUCGAUGGGGGGGAGACAUACUCUGUUAGAUUCUGUGGUCAAAUAGAUUUUUCUGUAUCAUAUGUCGAUGUGGCUUAUGAACAAAACCUUUAUAGAAAGAUUGGAUAAGCACAGGAGGAGAUUCUUCUGGCAAGGUUGUAAUAAGAAAAAGAGAUACCACCUUGUGAAAUGGAGCAGAAUAUGUAGAUCCAAGGAAAAAGGGGGUUUGGGAAUCAAAGACCUCCAGAAACAAAACAUAAGCUUGCUGGUCAAAUGGUGGUGGAAGCUUGAAAGACAAAAAGGGCUUUGGCAGGAUAUUGUCCGUGCCAGAUACCUUCGCAACAAAACUGUUGCGGAUGUCACCGCCAGGUUUUCUGACUCACCUUGCUGGAAAGCACUGCUUAAAGUCAAAGAUAUAUAUAUGAUGGGAGGGAAGAUUGAUACUAAAGUGGGGGACAUUACUAGGUUGUGGAAAGACUCGAUUAAUGGGCUACCUGCUCUCCAGGAGCAAUACACUUGACUGUUUGAUAUUUGUAACUUCCCUGGCUGCACCUUGAACAAAAUGAACGGUGACGACACCAGUUUGUUCUUUAGACGCAGGCUUACCCCUGAUCUGCUUAAGAAGUGGGAAGAACUGCGAUCUAUAAUAGAAAAUACCCCCCUUGCAAAGGAAGGUGAUGGUGACAAGAUCUUCUGGGGCCUUAACCAGAAUGGCAAGUUUACUACUAAAUUUGUGUACAAACUGCUGGAAAAACCCCUUGUUGGGUGUAACUAUAAGUGGGUGUGGAAAGCCAAAAUCCCCCUUAAGAUUAAAAUCUUCUUAUGGCAGCUAUCCCAAGAUGCGGUGCUCACAAGACAAGUGAUGAGGAAAAGGGAUUGGACAAGGAAUCCUUGUUGUUCCUUAUGCAGGGAGGUUGAAGCCUCUAAACAUCUUUUCUUUACCUGUCUGGUUGCUAGGGUGGUCUGGAGGUCUAUUGGGGUAGUGUUGGGCACUGACAAAUGCCCCAACAACUAUUGGAAUAUUUUGUUUGGUGCAAUAAAUUUCUCCCUGGUAAAUAAGUUUUUUACAUUGUGGGUUUAG
rnacentral:rRNA from 1 species